rnacentral:rRNA from 1 species
AACGAACGCUGGCGGCAUGCCUAACACAUGCAAGUCGAACGAGACCUUCGGGUCUAGUGGCGCACGGGUGCGUAACGCGUGGGAACCUGCCCUUAGGUUCGGAAUAACUCCCCGAAAGGGGUGCUAAUACCGGAUAAUGUCUUCGGACCAAAGAUUUAUCGCCUUUGGAUGGGCCCGCGUUGGAUUAGCUAGUUGGUAGGGUAAAAGCCUACCAAGGCGACGAUCCAUAGCUGGUCUGAGAGGAUGAUCAGCCACACUGGGACUGAGACACGGCCCAGACUCCUACGGGAGGCAGCAGUGGGGAAUAUUGGACAAUGGGCGAAAGCCUGAUCCAGCAAUGCCGCGCGAGUGAUGAAGGCCUUAGGGUUGUAAAGCUCUUUUACCCGGGAUGAUAAUGACAGUACCGGGAGAAUAAGCUCCGGCUAACCCCGUG